rnacentral:rRNA from 1 species
UACAUGGGGUGCAAACGUUGCUCGGAAUUAUUGGGCGUAAAGCGCGCGUAGGCGGUUACUUAAGUCGGAUGUGAAAGCCCUCGGCUUAACUGAGGAAGUGCACCCGAAACUGAGUAGCUAGAGUACGAAAGAGGGUCGCGGAAUUCCCGGUGUAGAGGUGAAAUUCGUAGAUAUCAGGAGGAACACCGGUGGCGAAGGCGGCGACCUGGGUCGAGACUGACGCUGAGGCGCGAAAGCGUGGGGAGCAAACAGG